GGGCGAUUAGCUCAGCCGGUCAGAGCGCACGGUUCACAUCCGUGAGGUCACUGGUUCGAACCCAGUAUCGCCCACCA
rnacentral:tRNA from 1 species